rnacentral:rRNA from 1 species
CCUACGGGAGGCAGCAGUGGGGAAGUAUUGCACAAUGGGCGCAAGCCUGAUGCAGCAACGCCGCGUGAGGGACGACGGCCUUCGGGUUGUAAACCUCUUUUAGUAGGGAAGAAGCGAAAGUGACGGUACCUGCAGAAAAAGCACCGGCUAACUACGUGCCAGCAGCCGCGGUAAUACGUAGGGUGCAAGCGUUAUCCGGAAUUAUUGGGCGUAAAGAGCUCGUAGGCGGUUUGUCGCGUCUGCUGUGAAAACCUGGAGGCUCAACCUCCAGCCUGCAGUGGGUACGGGCAGACUAGAGUGCGGUAGGGGAGAUUGGAAUUCCUGGUGUAGCGGUGGAAUGCGCAGAUAUCAGGAGGAACACCGAUGGCGAAGGCAGAUCUCUGGGGCCGUAACUGACGCUGAGGAGCGAAAGCAUGGGGAGCGAACAGGAUUAGAUACCCUGGUAGUCCAUGCCGUAAACGUUGGGAACUAGAUGUAGGGACCCAUUCCACGGUUUUCUGUGUCGCNGCUACGACAUACGUUACCGUCCGUCGGGAGGUACGGCCGCGACGACGUAAACUAACGAACGAAGUAGACGGCGNGAGACGAGCCGACGACGACGACGAGGGAGGUAGG